rnacentral:rRNA from 1 species
CCUACGGGCGGCUGCAGUGGGGAAUCUUGCGCAAUGGACGAAAGUCUGACGCAGCGACGCCGCGUGGGUGACGAAGGCCUUCGGGUUGUAAAGCCCUGUGGGCGGGAACGAACCGGUCGGGAGUGAACAUCUCCCGGCCUUGACGGUACCCGUUUAGCAAGCAUCGGCUAACUCUGUGCCAGCAGCCGCGGUAAGACAGAGGAUGCGAACGUUGCUCGGGCGUGCUGGGCGUAUACUGCAAGCAGGAUGUGAAAGCCCGGGGCUCAACCUCGGAAGUGCACCGGAUACUGCGGAACUGGGGUCUUGAAGAGGAGAGCGGAAUUCCCGGUGUAGAGGUGAAAUUCGUAGAUAUCGGGAGGAACACCAGUGGCGAAAGCGGCUCUCUGGGCAAUGACCGACGCUGAGGCGCGAAGGCGUGGGAAGCAAACAGGAUUAGAUACCCCGGUAGUC